AAAUGUCUAGAACACAAGGUCUGC
rnacentral:siRNA from 1 species